UUAAAAUGAAAACACAUGACAAAAUCAUGACUAAAAAUAUAUAACAAGAAUAACAGAAAACUAAUGACAAAUCCAUGUUUUUAGUUCUCUGUUUGUCUGUCCACAGGUCCGAGUGGGACAAACAUCAUCAUUGGCUCAAUAGCGGGAGCGAUACUGCUGGCAGCUAUAGUAUUGGGAGGAACAGGCUGGGGCUUCAAAAAUAUCAGAAGAGGAAGAUCUGGAGGGGGAUAAACAUGUCAUCUGCUCUGCUGUGCUUCUGCACUGUGUUCUUUAAACUUUGAGGGAAACAGAAGAAACUACAGAUGUCUUCCACUCUCUCACCAAACUCCAGUGUCACGCUGUCCUGUCUUUCCGACUUCCUGUUACUGCCUGUCACCUGUUGCCUAGAAACACUCCAGUACAUCCCAUGGUAACAUUUUUUAAACUGAUUUCGAUUUUACUGAUGUUGGCUAUUUGUAAUGGGGUUUGGCUCUUUAAACCCAGCACAGAAACUGAAAAAAGUCAUCAUUUACUCACCCUAGUGCCGUUUCGAACC
rnacentral:lncRNA from 1 species